rnacentral:rRNA from 1 species
UGGGGAAUUUUGGACAAUGGGCGAAAGCCUGAUCCAGCAAUGCCGCGUGUGUGAAGAAGGCCUUCGGGUUGUAAAGCACUUUUGUCCGGAAAGAAAUCCUUGGCUCUAAUACAGUCGGGGGAUGACGGUACCGGAAGAAUAAGCACCGGCUAACUACGUGCCAGCAGCCGCGGUAAUACGUAGGGUGCAAGCGUUAAUCGGAAUUACUGGGCGUAAAGCGUGCGCAGGCGGUUUGCUAAGACCGAUGUGAAAUCCCCGGGCUCAACUGGGAACUGCAUUGGUGACUGGCAGGCUAGAGUAUGGCAGAGGGGGGUAGAAUUCCACGUGUAGCAGUGAAAUGCGUAGAGAUGUGGAGGAAUACCGAUGGCGAAGGCAGCCCCCUGGGCCAAUACUGACGCUCAUGCACGAAAGCGUGGGGAGCAAACAGGAUUAGAUACCCUGGUAGUCCACGCCCUAAACGAUGUCAACUAGUUGUCGGGUCUUCAUUGACUUGGUAACGUAGCUAACGCGUGAAGUUGACCGCCUGGGGAGUACGGUCGCAAGAUUAAAAACUCAAAGGAA